rnacentral:rRNA from 1 species
GGUAAUUCUAGCUCGUAGAGCGUAUAUUCGAGUUGUUGCAGUUAAAAAGCUCGUAGUUGAUCUUUGGGCUUGGCUGGCCGGUCCGUUUUUAACGAGUACUGGUUUUUCAGCCGAGCCUUUCCUUCUGGUUAGCUGCUGUUGGCUUGUCUAGCAGUAGUGAUCCAGGACUAUUACUUUGAAAAAAUUAGAGUGUUCAAAGCAGGCGUUUAGCUCGAAUAUAUUAGCAUGGAAUAAUGAAAUAGGACGUAUGGUUCUAUUUUGUUGGUUUCUAGGACCAUCGUAAUGAUUAAUAGGGACGGUCGGGGGCAUCAGUAUUCAAUUGUCAGAGGUGAAAUUCUUGGAUUUAUUGAAGACUAACUACUGCGAAAGCAUUUGCCAAGGACGUUUUCAUUAAUCAAGAACGAAAGUUAGGGGAUCGAAGAUGAUCAGAUACCGUCGUAGUCUUAACCAUAAACUAUGCCGACUAGGGAUCGGGUGUUGUUCUUUUUAUUGACUCACUCGGCACCUUACGAGAAAUCAAAGUUUUUGGGUUCUGGGGGGAGUAUGGUCGCAAGGCUGAAACUUAAAGGAAUUGACGGAAGGGCACCACCAGGAGUGGAGCCUGCGGCUUAAUUUGACUCAACACGGGGAAACUCACCAGGUCCAGACACAAUAAGGAUUGACAGAUUGAGAGCUCUUUCUUGAUUUUGUGGGUGGUGGUGCAUGGCCGUUCUUAGUUGGUGGAGUGAUUUGUCUGCUUAAUUGCGAUAACGAACGAGACCUUAACUUUCUAAAUAGUACUGUUAGCGUUAGCUGAUAUAGUUACUUCUUAGAGGGACUAUCGGUUUCAAGCCGAUGGAAGUUUGAGGCAAUAACA